UGGUAUUCUCCCAAGCAGUUGUCCCUUCUCUUUCAAUAAUGAUGUCCUGAAUCAAAUCCUUAUUCUCCAAACUUCCUACUUUUUGGCUAGCCCAGAUUCAGAGUGCAACAUUUCCGGCUGAACUAACAUUGAAACAUGAAAAUCUAACAUUGCAACAUUCUUGAACUUAGGGACUGUCCAAAGCCAAAUCCAGAGCAAGUUUUGCAGCUAGGAUGUAUCUACGGCCCCCAGAAUAACCUACACUGAAUAACCCAUAGGGUUUUUUUCCCACCCUUAGGUCCAGUAGAAGUGUAUUAAGAAAGGACACAGCAUUUCUCCUAUUCUGCAGAUGAGGAAUCCAAAGCAAAGAGAAAACCUCUUUGAGAACUGAAGGAUGGAGAAAUGAGGUGAAGAGACUAAGUACACCCAGGAAAGCUGAAGCCGGGCUGGGCCAGACCCCAGGUAUCUCAGUAGCGGUGCCUUGGUUUUUCCCUUUUCAAAAUUCUCAUUCUCCUGCUAUGGAGGUCACUCUUCCUCACCCAGAGUCUUCAUCAUAUAAUUUUAUGAUUUUAUUACAAGUUCCUCUCCAGGAGUUCCCCAGCUCUACCAUAGGAUAGUGAGGAACAAAGUCAGAGCGUGCCUGAUGCACCAGUAAGCUCAGCAGUUGUCCUUAAAACCAUUGGCCUCUUCCACCAGGCGUGUUUGCCAUUACUACAUUCAUUGCAGCUUAGAUGAUGAGUCCAGUUGAACCCGAGGCACAGAUAAAUAUUAGCACAAAACAAAGAGUUGAUAUUCUUCAGAGAAACAAAUGGAAACGUGUCAGCUUUAAAAUUCUCAGUGAGUCCAUUCUAACAUAACCUGCUGCUGUGCCAUGGACAACACCACCCUGUUGAGCAUGAUUCCCUCCAAAAUGUGGAUUCAUGAGCACUUGGACUUGCCCCCAUCUGAAUAAUGUAACACAGAGCCUGCCCUCCCACACUGGGUCUAAGACAGGGACAAGCAUUUAA
rnacentral:lncRNA from 1 species